ACAGCUCCUCCAGAAAACACAGCUGUCACAACCAUCUAAAGGGACUAUGUGCAACCGAUAGAACCAUUCCCAUGAAUCACCCAACUGUGGCAUAGUCAAGCUCUGCUGCCUUCAGCAAAGGUUUUCCUACCUACAGAAUGGGGAACAUGCUUGCUUUAACACGGUUGGAUUUUAUCAGCCCAGGAUUCUCUGUGACUCAGGGAUAGCAUCUGCCUUCCCCAAUCCACAGGAAAGUCACUUCCACAGGCAAGCUCUGCUGGGAUUGUAGGCCAGGUGUCAGGUGUAAUCAAACCCAGGGGGGCAAAGGUCUCCAUCUGCAUCUGUGUCCCGUUGGUGGCAAGUCUGGGGACCACGCCAUUCUUGACUCACUUCCCUUUCCCUGUCUCUUACCCUCAGACCACAAUGACUGCCACCCACAACUUGGACAAGCGGAACCUGCCUGUUUCUCCACUCUGAACACAAGCCUUCCACAGAUUUACUCUUUAUAUAAAAGAAAGACCACAGGCCACCAUCUCUCCUAGGGGAUUGUACAUCAUGGUCCUAUGUGACACCAGGUUUCUGAAAGUUGCAGCCAGACACUACAUUAGACCCACGUGAGACCAGUAGAAUUAAUGACCUGCAUUCCUGCAUCGUGUUUCUUCCCAGUGCAUUCCUGACUCAAAGGCAACCUUCUCUGCGGUACCUUCUGAACUAAGGUCUGGGAGAUUAAACAGUAACUUUGGGUGUGAAUGUGUGUUUUUAUGAGUGCCAGUGUGGUGUAUGUGUGGGUAGCCACACAUGUGUGGAGGCUAGAGGACAACUGUUUUAUUCCUCAGCUGCCAUGCACCUUGGCUUUGGGGACAGGCUCUCUCACUGGCUUGGUGUUUGCUGAGUGAGCUAAGCUGACUGUCCCUGCCUCUCCAGGGCUGGGAUUACAAACCCAAGUCAUCACACACCUUCUUUAUGUUAGACCCAGGUAUCUAUGAUCCCAUUCGGGCCCUCAUGUUCACAUGGCAAGUAUUUUACCAACUCAACUUUCUCACAAUCCUAAAGCAUAAUUUUUAAGUAAACAUGGGCAAAGAUGGGGCCGACCACAUGCAAAUGAACUGUCCUGCAGGACUGAGCAGAAGGAACUGCACAGUCCCUACCAACAGGCUCGAGAUUUCCUGCCAAUUGCACAAUGCAAGAUCGAAGGUUUCUCCUUAAAAAUAGCGUCAAGCCCUUUUGUUCUUACUUCUACAAAAGUACAACGGUCUCUCAAAGGUCCCGGAGAAAUACAGCAUUUUGACGAGAUAAAAACUGGCUACUUUAGGUUCCUCUGAUUUCUCUCAGAAGUCUUUCAAUGGGUCGUUAAUGAAAUGAAGAACACAUAGCCAACCAAGGUGCAGAAGAACUGAACUCUGUCUCCAGUCUGGAUCUGUUAGCAUCAGUGUCAUCAACCAUGGAGUUCUUGCAGCGGUGUUUUGUGCCUUAGCAAGGAUUGUAAGUUUGUUUGGUUCUUGUCCUAGCUUCUAAAAACGGCACAUAUCUUAUCUGCACAUAUUAAGCAUUCCUGUACGGAUGUAUCCACCACAGACAUGAGACCUCAGAGCAGGAAUUCAUGGAGAGCCGGCAGCGGGAGCUCCUUAGUGUGACCUACUUACAGAGGCAGUCUUCCGCGUGGCAAUUAGCAGUUUCUCCCUGCGGUUUGUUCAGCAGGAUUGACAGGGAAUUCUGCCUAGCGAUGGACCAGGCGCUUCCCUCAGCCCUGCUGGGUGCCUGCUGCUCUCUGGAUAGCGGCAUUCCUUAGGAGUUUGACACAGUAGGGAAAGAGACCGGUUCACUGUGAGACCUGCUACUCACUCUCUUACAGUGCAUCGGCCCCCCUUCCCACUGCACAGUGGCUGCCGGGGCUCUGGGUGGGUGGCAGGCAUGUGGCCAUCGUGACAGUGAACCAUGGAGUCAGAGUUCCAUCACGUAUGCUGCAUACACAGGAGCCUUCUUCUAAAGGCGGCGCUGAAUUUUAGGACAGUAUCAACACAAGCUAAUUUGGCUCCUUCAGAACUAGGGAAAGUACUCUCUUCAAAUUGAAAAGGAAACAAAAAACACAUGGGCUCGCAAGAUAGGGAUGUGCUUGUCUCUCCGCUUUAAAAUAAACUCCGAGGAUAUAAAAAUAGCUUUGGGGAGCAACUAAGCAUGCGCAGGCUAGUGCGCUCUUGUCUCCUGGUGCCUUUUAGUUUCCCACAGAGUGAAUCAAUUGCUUUGUUAGUUUCCCUGGGUAGGGAAAACAUGCGACUUUAAAUUGGCUCUUUUGGGUAUUCAUCCAAUGAGUACAUCUAUGAAACUCACCAUAAAAAAUAACCGAGCCGGAGGACAGAAAGGAAACAGAUUUUCGCGUACCUGCUUGCUGCGCGGUCUGUGGUAUUUGCUGACUCCUCUGAGCGCUGUACUGGACUGAGGCCAGGGGUCGGUACUGCUGUGUGGUUGAGGUAGGGUACUGACCAGAUGGGUAGUAAUAUACGGACAUCUGUGGGACAGGAGGAGCGAGAAACGGAGAUGAGAGCUGUGCACAAGAAACAUAUUUUUUUUCCACAUAAAACCCACUGUUUCGAUAUAGUGUCAUUUAACCAUGGCAGAUUUUGAAAUUGAGCCCUGACCAUCCUCUCUCACACCUGUUUCAGUGUGCAUGCUCUUUCUCUCUCCCCUGAUGGGAGAUCUCUCCUGUCCGUGCUUUGGAAGCCAUCCCCAAACAAGAACUUUAAAGAGAUUUGCAAUCCCACUACAGGGGAAGAGGACUUAGUCUGGGGGGGGGGCACCUAUCUACCCUGCUGGGUUAAGGGGCCAGAGGCUCCCUGCUGACUGACUGACUGACUGACAAUGCUCAGUCUUCAGAUGUUAAGGACAACCUGGGUCAGGUGCUCCAGCUGGUUCCAUAUGGAACAGAAAUGAACUUGGGAGGAGUCCCGCCCACUUGGUGACUGUGUCAUGAACAGCAAAAGGCUACUUGAUGUCCAGCCAAGGCUUCAAAGAGUGAUUUAUACAUAGCCUGCAUCAAAAUUUUCGGUAUAUGCAAUACAAGUGGAACCUAUGGUAAGAUAGUGCGUAUGCAUCUUCUGCAAACUUACUUCUAGUAGUGGGAAUUGAAUUUAGGCGUUUAUGCAUGCCCAGUAAGCCCCUUAUCAAUCACCUCACUGUAUCCCUAGGCAGUGUGUGUGUGUGUGUGUGUGUGUGUGUGUGUGUGUGUGUGUACGUUCAUGUGUGUGACCCUGAGUGUAGAGGCCAGAGGUCAACCCCUUAGGUGUCAUUCCUCAGGCACUACUCAGGUUGUUUGAAACAAGAUUCUCACUAAUGUGAAAAUUGCUGAUCAGUGAGGUCAGCUGGCAAGAGGAACCCCAGGGCAUCUACUUCUCUCCAAUGCCCGGCAUGAGCCACUCUGCAUGGCCUUUAAAUGUGGAUGUGGGGGAUCAAACACAGAUAUUCAUGUUUGUAAGCAUUUUACUGACUGACAUUCUUGGGGAUCCUUUGAUUUUGAAGUUUGAGACUCAUACUUAGCUGACCAGCCUUUGACUCAUUCUGUAUCCCAGGAAGGCCUUGAAUUCACGAUUUUCCUCAAAUGCUGGGGUUACAGGUCUGUAUCCCUAAUCCAGCCAACCUUCUGUUUACUGUUUGAUGACUGACAGCCAGUGAAAACACCCUAGAAUGCCUCCUUAGAAGACAUCUUUGCCUACCUAACAAUGCCAUGUAAUGCUGGUUUCUUACUGGUUUCAGCUAACGCCGCUCAUCUCUUGUCUCUUCUCAUCUUCUUUAGAGGGAGAAUAGUGGUCCUCCGCUGUACCCAAGGGUUUACAGGUUGGGUAUGUAGAAGAAGAUUUUGAACCAAUUAUUUUGUAUCUCUGAUUUCUAUGCCUAUUUUUUUUGAUUCACUUAUCUCAGUAAGGCAUUAGUGUUCCAUUUGCUACUAGAGUGUGUGGUAUGUUCCCGUCCCUCGGGAGGAAAGUGGAAGCAAAGGAAACAUUGUAUGGCUGUGGUUUUGCAAUGCCAUGGAAUCAACAAGAACUUCAUUCUCUCUAGUACGGUAGAUGACCAAGGGGAAGAGGCUGGGAGGGCCUAGAACUAUUCUGCCUCAUUGCUUAGCAAUUAGUCAUUUACUAAUUACACAUUGUAUAUGGUCAUUUAACCUUUCUCUCUGUCUCUCUCUCAUUGUGUGCUUGUGUGCUUGUGUGUGUGUGCUUGUGUGCUUGUGUGUGAGUGCUUGUGUGUGUGUUUGUGUGCUUGUGUGUGUGUGUGUGUGUGUGUGUGUGUGUUCAGAGUAUGAUGUUGGGUGUCUUCUUCAUCAACUCCUCUUGGUUUUUAGAAUUAUUUGUUUUAUUUUUCCUGUAUGAAUGUUUUGCCUGACUGUGUGCACGUACACCAUAUUUGUGCCUGGUGUCUGUGGAGAUCAGAAGAGGAAAUCACAUCCCUCAGAGCUGGGAUUAUGAAUAACGGUAAACCCCUAUGUAAGUGCUGGUACUUGAAGCCCAGGUCGUCUGUAAGGGCAGUGGGCGUUCGAACCUAUGAGUCAUUUCUCUAGUCCCUUCAUCUUCGUACUAAACCUGCAGGUCAACAGCUUGUUUAAACUGGGCGGUCAAUUAAGUCUAGGGAUCUGCUUGAUUCUGUCCUGGACGGUCCCCAGUUCUGGUGUUACAGACGUGCACUGUUGCACCCAGCUUCUAACAGGUGCUGGCAGUCCCAGUCCAGAUCUUCAUGCCUCCAUGCCAAGCAUGGGAUAAGCUAUGCCAUCUCCCUAGCCUGCUGUCUCUUUUUUAUAAAGCAAUUCAAAAAUGUGAAGAAUUCAUGAGCAAAUGGAUUUGGAUCUAUUCUGGAAAAUUGUGAUACAGUUAAAAGUCACUAUUACAUAUCACAUAGAUGCCCCCCAAUAUUUAGGACAAGAACAAUUGCUAUCUAACUUAUCAGCCUUAUUUGUGCACAUCGGUUAGUCCAUUUUUGUAUCUUUAGAAAAAAGAGUAUGUGUCGUUUCAAUACAAGCUUAUGAACACAAUUUCCAUUUCCUAAAAAUACUAUUUCAGUGUGUGCAUAAAUGCAUGUUUGUGGAAAGGUGGAGAUAGAUGUGGGUGUCUGCAUGCUGUGGAAUUGGGAUGGAGGUCAGAAGACAAUUUGUGAGGGUCUGUUCUUUCCUUCCAGCAUACGGGCCUAAGGAUCAAACUGAGGUUGUCUGCCUUGGUCUCAGCAACCCAGGCUAUCUAUUCUGCAGUCUUCUAGCAUUGAAUAUGAAACAACAACAACAACAACAACAACAACAACAACAACAACAACAACAACAGCACAGUUCAAAGGGAAAGAAUGGAGAUCCAAUACUUGGAAAAUUCCCAAUGAGCCUUCGUAAUUUGGAAAAAGGUCGAACUUGAUAUAUUUAGAUUUUUAGGAGCUACUUGUUUCUGUUUGUUUAGUCUUGUUCUUCUGUAUUGAUUGUACUUCUUUCCGUGACCAGCAAAGGUUUUGACACCUUUACACGGCCCUUCUCCACAGUGUGUCAUUGCUUAUUCCUUAGGAAAGGUGACGUCAGACACUCAGAAGCUAAUGGGUGCUUGGCCCAUCCCAAUCUUCCUCAUGCCUUCCUUCCUUUCCCCUCUGUCCUAGGGGAAGGAAAGUGAGCUGAGCCCACGGACAUAUUUGGAAGGACCAAUGUGACAAACUGUGAUGGGAGGGGGGUAGAGGAGGAAAGGAACAAAGAUGGUGUGCAAGAGGAUAGGAUGUCUACGUUAAAUGACUGGAUUAAGGUUUCUCUUAGCCUCACGUGCAUGAAUGGCACACAUACGCCAGAGGAAACGCUCCUCUGAAGAAAGGGAACACAUUUCCAUAGACACCUCCAGAUUGGCUCAGCGGAACUCUCCCCAGCGUUGCCUGGCUGGCUAGCUAAACUUUAAGGUGGUUAUUACCUCAGAAGUGACUACGAGUUGUGACCUACACCUGUAUCAAUGGAUCUCUUUGUUCCCAAUAAUCAAGCUAAUAAAUCAAUGAUUUAUAGUAAAA